GAGUACGUAGCUCAUACCACUGAGAUAUUUAUAUAUAUUUUUUUGCUUCAUACGUACCUCAAAGGCUAAAUGCCGUGUGCGUCUUUGUAGGACGGAACACACGUGCUCAGCCGCCGUACCUUUCCUCUUAUUGCAGAGAAAGGUUGUCCGCGAGUAUAAAUACCGCGGGUCAGACUCGAGGCACAUUCGCGUUUGUAGUGAUUUUAACUUUUCAGUAAGCUACGCCAUGUAUCUCGCCGGACGGCUCGCCUUGGUCACCGGCGGAGCCAGCGGGAUUGGCGAGGCUGUAUGCCACACCCUGGCCGGUGAAGGCGCUACGGUCAUCGUAGCCGACAAGCAGCUCGAGCCAGCGAGAAAAGUUGCCGCUUCAUUGUCAGGGCACUUUCCUGGUUACCAGGGCAGCCAGUCGUGAGAUGAUACGUGUCGGGAAGGAGCUGCCCGAAGGAGGCGCUGCCAUCGUUAACCUGGCCAGCUUGGCGGCUAAAAGCGGCUGGUUCGCCUACGGCGCCUACGCCGCGGCGAAAGCCGGCGUCGUGACCCUCACCAAGACGGCGGCACAGGAAUUGGCAACGCACGGUAUCCGUGUGAACGCUGUUCUGCCCGGCUGGACGGAAACAGCCAUGACAGAGCCUCUAACCGAAGAAAUCAAAGCGAAGGUCCUCUCAAUGACAGCGCUUAAGAGGGCCGCGCAGCCCAAGGAAGUUGCUGAAGCUGUCAAGUUCCUUUGUUCUCCCGCAACAAGUUCCUACGUCACAGGAGUUGCACUAGAGAUCACUGGAGGAUUUAAUAUGUGAUUUCCUGUCUUGAGAGUUGAAAGAUAAUAAACAAUAAGGAAAAAUAAACAAAAAGAAACAUGGAACCUAAAAUAAGCGAGAGCCAAGGGCGAAGCAAUGAAUGCGAGAACAAGAAUUUGGAAUGGUAUACGAAGUAAGGCGAGCAGCUCACUCCUGUAGCAUCCGACCUGGCGUGACUCAACAUAACGCUGGCGUAAGGUGGCCGCUGCAGCGAGAGAAGCGACCGUCACGCUGUCUAACGAUUCAACGCAAACUUAGUGGUGAGAACAGUGAGGUGAAUCUUCGUACAGCUGCCAUUGGGGGCCUCAACUCAGAUGCCAGCGCCAAGUGCCCCUUCAUUUGCGGCCCUUGUGGAUGGCUGGAUUCAAAGAAGGCGGCGCACACGGUGUACGUCGUCAUGGCAGCAGGUACUGGAGCCGGCUGAGCAUGUUCCUACAACAUAAAACAUUCUGAUGACAACUCUUUCUCCUUUUGAUUUAUGCAUUUACUAUUGGGCCAACACGCGUGUCUGGUAUGAUGGUUUAAGAGCUCG
rnacentral:misc_RNA from 1 species